rnacentral:rRNA from 1 species
UAAGGGAUAUUGCACAAUGGGCGCAAGCCUGAUGCAGCAACGCCGCGUGCAUGAUGAAGGCCUUCGGGUCGUAAAAUGCUUUUCUGGCUGAAGAAGGGCAGCCCUCGGGUUGCUUUGACCGUAAGCCAGGAAUAAGUGUCGGCUAACUACGUGCCAGCAGCCGCGGUAAAACGUAGGACGCAAGCGUUAUCCGGAGUUACUGGGCGUAAAGCGCGGGCAGGCGGUUCUUUAAGUCUGAUGUGAAAUCUCCCGGCUCAACCGGGAGCAGCCAUUGGAAACUAGGGAACUGGAGGGCGAGAGAGGUAGGCGGAAUUCCGGGUGGAGUGGUGAAAUGCGUAGAGAUCCGGAGGAACACCAGAGGCGAAGGCGGCCUACUGGGUCGGCACCUGACGCUGAGCCGCGAAAGCCAGGGGAGCGAACGGGAUUAGAAACCCCGGUAGUCCUGGCCGUAAACGAUGUGUGCUGGGUGGUGGGGGGUCUCCCGCACUGCCGAAGCUAACGCGAUAA